AGACUGAAAGAUCGAAAAAUGCGUUGUACCAUUGAAAAUCAGAUGCUACGUUGAAUCUACGUCGGCAAAAUAAUUUUUAUCUCCAGUGUACUCACCAACUUUUUUUUUCGCUCUAUCUUUCCGGGCAAAAUCUGUGGACACCGAAAUACAGUUCAAGCAACGGCAGCAACUUCGGAGUCAUCUUACGUUUCUUCAAAGAAGGUUCUUCGGUGUUGGGAAUUAUGAAUGCCUUUCGAGAACUCUGUUCGACGAUAGACUUGUUGGCCUGAGCCUUGACGCGCCGCAUGGAACAUCUCGGUCUGGAAGAGUUCGAGUAACAGAAAUGCAACUUGGAGCCAUGAUCGACUUCUGCGAAGCCCAAAAAGGUCUAGUGGAAGGGCGAUUUCAUGUAUUGAAUGGAAGGGAAGAGACAAAAAGAAUGGAUUGAACUAUGCCAGGUGCUUGAUAAUUUACAAGGACUCGAAAAAUGCACAGCACAGGGUCAGGUGAUUUGGAAGGAUUUGAAAGGCUGGACUUUGCAAGAAGCUCAAAAUACAAGAAUCCAACGCAAUGCGACUGGUAACAAAGAAAUCAAGGACCCUGAGCUAACAAAACUAGAACUAUCGUUGGAGCUAAUCAUAUACAAGGAAGUCACAUACAGGAGAAAGAGCUCAGACGUUAUUUUAACACUGACAAAGAAUUCACGAAGUGGAUGUCAACCGGUGAAUUAUCAACAGUUCCAUUGAGAGCCUAUCAAAGGGAAUACAGAAACCUGUAGUGAGUCUUCACUUGCUGCAAGUUUAACGAUAAUAAACUUCUAUAACAGAAGAAAAGACUUGCGGCUCCUGACUAUAUCCAUUAACUAUUGGCAAAUUUAUUGAAACAGGAAUUCCAGAAACAAUUUAAGGUAUACCUACUGAGCAGCGGUACAGAGGAACAGACAUCGAAGAUUACCUUUUACGCAAUCCUCAACCUGUAUUGAACUAGUGACGCCGGGAGAUUCUCCAUCGAAUACUUACGUCGAACAGCAAGAACCGUCUAGAAGAGACCAAAGAGUUAAAAAAAACACAUCACCUGUACAGCGACGGAGGAUAUACAAUCCCAUGAACUCCGCAUUGUGAAACCAGUUGCACCAGUAAAUUCAUUGCCAUCUAGCCGUACUGGAACGUAGCCACUAUGUGAAAACAAUCAAGGAAUUAAGAGGAAGCGAUCGACAUCUAGAGCCACAAACAACAUACGGUCAUAUCUGCGAGGGCCCCAAAGAGGUCUACUUGCAACAGAGGCACCACAAAUUCUGAACCUGGACGACGUACGCAUACGUUUGGAUUUUUAUUCAAUUUCUGGCCGAAACUACAAUUUGAUCUUAUUAUGAUUGAAUAAACACAUACCUUCACUUAGGCGAAUCUAUCUACGGAAUUAACUUAACAACCGAAUUUUACAAUGUAUGGUGAACUUUUAACGUCAAAAAGCGAAGAAAUUAUAAUAUCUUCAUAGUUUGCAGUCGUUGUUUAAUUUUGUGAUCAGACCCUUAAUUCCUAGAUUCAAUAAAAAGAAUCAUCGC